UCCCCACAGACCCCACACAGGGGCUGGGGGGAAUCCUGGGGCUCCCUGGGGUCCGGCUCCAUCCCAGCGGGGCCGUGGCAGCCCAGGCAGACGGACUGUCCCGUCAUCCUCCAGCACGGAGCAUCUCCCAGCCUGCCGUCUUGUAUGGCUUUUUAUUCCUAUGUGAUUAUACAUCCCACUUCAUAUAGGGAUUGAAGCCGUGCAGUACGCCGGGCUCCUGCGGCAGAGAGCAGCCCCUGUGCCACGGGAGCCGGCCCAGGAGGAGCCACCAGAGCUGUCCCCAGGGUGCUGCAGGGACUGCUGGGACUCCGUCCUGCAUCCCAGGCUCCCCAGCCCUCUUGGGAUGCAGGUGAGGGGUGCCAAGCUGCUUUGGGGUGAGGCCAGCACAAGCCCACGCCUUGCAUUGCACCCCGUUGCAAGGGUGGGCCUGGUUCUGCACCACGUCUGCUGUGAGAGCCCCAGUGACUCCCUGGUGGGCUCAUCCCUGGGGAAUCUGCUGCUUUGGGACUAUCCUGGGAUAUGCAGCAUCUGUGUGCAGGCACUGCCAGCAGCACAGGGGAGGAAGAAGAGGAAAAAGAUGCUGAGGAAUGGCCACGACAGCAAGGGCUGCCCCAGGCACGAUGCUCUUCAAGGUUUCUCAAGAGGCCUCAGCCACUCUUUCAAGGUUUGUGUUAUAUCUGUCACAUUAGCGAAAAUGGUGAAAAUUGUGGCUUGUGGAGGAGAUGAAAGGCAGCCCCUUCCAAUGCCUCCAUAAAGGAAGGGCCCCAUUAACACCUAGUGAAUUAUUGGCCAUUAAUCAGGCUCUGUGCAAAAUAAAACCAUCCACAUUUAUCAUUAUUGGAUCCUUAAUGAAGUGAUAAUGGGAAUGCUGGGGAGCUGUGAUAUUAAUGUCUUCUAAGAGGCAAGAGCAGAGCCAAGGGCGGCAGCCAAGAUUUUUAAUUUACUGCCAGAAGCUCGUGCUGUUAAUAACGCUGUUACUUCUCCCGGCCGUUAGCACUGUUUGGCUGAGAGCUGCCAGCUUAGGAGAGCAAAUCAACCCUGAGCAUACCCAGACUUUGUUCACCUGCUCCCCACACGGCAUCUGAGCAUGUUUUUGCCGCCCAGUGUCCCCUGCCCAUGUGUAGGGAUAUGGCCAGGGAGCUGCUGGCCACCUUCACCCAGCUGACUCCUUCCUGAAGGCUGGCUGGUGUAGAAAGUUUUGCUUUUCUGAUUAAAAAGGGAAGGGACUGUGACCAUCAAGCCCCGGUGUCUCUUACUGUCCUCGCUCUCUCUGUGACUCUUCUCCUUAGGCACGAGCCCCCAGAGCCAGGGUGGCGUGGAGCUGGUCCCAGCACAGCCCACACACUGGGGUUGCUCUGUGUGACUGCAGCCACACUCUGGUGUCUUCAUUUGCACAGCUCUACUCCCAUGAGGCCAAUAUCCCAUCCAGGACAGCACGGACAAGCUGCAAAGCCCUGCUCAGCUGUGGUGACUCACUUGAGUUCCCAAUGGGAAAGUCAUUGCUCCUGCCAGCCCGGAGGCAAAUCAUUACCAGGCAGGCUCUCCCAACAGGCACCAGCAGGGAAGAUGUUACUGUGGAGGAAGGAGGCUGGAGGAGGACUCCACACAGCUGGCUUGCCACUGCACUUCAUUCAUCCCCAUCCUUACACUGUGCAGUGAAGGUAUGUCAUCCUCUUUGUCACUAUGCACUGCUUGUGUCACCCAGCCAGUAUCAUGAACUUCUCUCUGCCAACGUGCUUCCUAGCCACACUCCUGGGUGUGCAUCCUGCUGGGCCUGGUCUCUGUCAUCUCAGUACCCUGGUGUGGGAAGAGCUGUAGGGCACUGUGCUGGCCUGUGGAGCAGGUGCUGGGUGUCCCCUUCCCACCACAUCCCCCCAGCAGCUCCAUGCUUCAGGUGAGCAGGCCUUGCUCUUACUGCUUUUAUAUCCUUCAGUCACUGCAAUUUGCUGCAGUGGACCCCUAAAACCCCACUGCUGAGCUGCUCUUGUGCUAGGGGCACUGGAGGUGCAACAGUGCAGCAAGGGCUCUCUGUGGUAGCCCUGACAUGGCCUCAGCUUCCCCACGUCUCUUAAAUUAACUAUAUCUGAAGCAAGCCUUAAAUCCAGUCUCCUUGUUUGUAAUGUGACCUUUUACCUUCCUCUGAUCCCACCAAUUACAAGUGCUUGUUUUUUUUUUGCUGUGGACGUCCACUCAUGUGUCUAAUUAGUGGAUUCUUUUUGUCAAAGACACUAGCAGCCUCAACAGUGAGCCCUAAUUUAAGUAGUUUGCAUUUGUCUGCAGCAUUGGUGCUUUAAUUUACUCCUGCUCCUAAUUAAGUGCAUCUGGGUGUCUGCAGAGGGAGCUCUCAUGAUCUCUCCAUGGCUCUAAUUAAAAUGGCCUGGAUGUCCAUGACGUUGGUGCCUGUCAAGCCUGUCACCAGGAGGUGAUGCCCACCUUGGAACUGGCUGAAGAACGUGUAGGAGUCAUUGUUCCUGAGGAAGGCCUCCACAUCCAGGCCCUCCUGGAGCGCCUCAGCCACCAGCCCUGGGCUGCAGAAGGCUCCUGCUGCCUCCGUUGGCCCAUCCUGUCCGUCUGUCCCCCCACUGAGGAAGAGGAUCUCACAGCUCCCCUGGGGGCUGCUGGCUCCUGUGGCCUGAGCCUGGUGCAGCCCCAGCCCCACACGCAGGGCCAGCUCCUGGUUUCUGCCUCCCUUGCCGGUUCCCUGGAGCUGGACCGUGGUUUCUCCUCCAGCCAGGAUGCAGACUGGUCUGUCAGGCCCUAACCCUCGCAGGGCCUGCAGGAACUCCUUCAGGUCCAAACCUGGGAUCUGCAGCUCUGCUGCCAGCUGCAGGACAUUGCCCCUCAGCUGGUCCCCCAGGGGCCCUUCUCCGAGGCUGGCGAAGGCCAGGCAGACCAGCUGGAUCAGCUGGCAGUACAGCGUGGCAACACGGCCCACCUCCCCACGGACUGCUGCACUCAGGAGCAGAGCUGCAUAGCCCAGCCCCUCAGCCUGGCGUCUGGCCUCUUCCAGAGCCACCGUGUUGGACCCAAGGAUGAUGUUGGAAACGUGGGAGUAGUUUUCUGGAGCAGUGGGCUUGGUGGGAGAGCUGGAGAGGACCAUUUCCACUGACUUGGGCAGGUCGUGCAGCAGGUUGUAUUUGGAUGUGCCAGCUGGGCCAGCCCUCCACCCUUCAGCACGGACAGAGUCUUCCGGACAAUGUUCAGCUCCUGUAUGGCAGCUCCUCGGGAAGCCAGCAUCUUUGUGAGUUUCUCCUUCUCCUCGAGGAGGAUGGGAGGGAU